UCCUCGGUAGUUUAGUGCUGAGUAUCCGCGCCUGUCACGUGCGAGACCCGGGUUCGCUUCCCGGCCGGGGAG
rnacentral:tRNA from 1 species